rnacentral:lncRNA from 1 species
UUAGACUGUCACCCCUCUUGGAGUUCUCCCUCUAGAAUCCUUUUGAGACAUUCCUUCUCUUGCCUAAAGUUGUGUCUUGGAUUGGAAAAUUUCCUAGAGAUGUUUACUGAUGUGGACAAAGAGAUUGCUGAGGAUGAUGAGAAGAGAAAACAUGCCGGCUAGGAUUACUAUUUAAUUUUAUGGCCUCGCAAGUGAGCAUUCAUUGGCAUUGAGCAUUCUUUGGCAUUACCUUUCUUUGCGAUUGGAAUGAAAACUGACUUUUUGUAGUCCUGUGACCACUGCUGAGUUUUCCAGAUUUGCUGGCAUAUUGAGUGCAGCACUUUCACAGGAUCAACUUCCAGGAUUUGAAACAGCUCAACUGGAAUUCCAUCACCUCCACUAGCUCUGUUCGUAGUGAUGCUUUCUAAGGCCCACUUGACUUC